rnacentral:rRNA from 1 species
CCUACGGGAGGCAGCAGUGAGGAAUAUUGGUCAAUGGGCGCGAGCCUGAACCAGCCAAGUCGCGUGAAGGAUGACUGCCCUACGGGUUGUAAACCUCUUUUAUAAAGGAAGAAAGUGAGCCACGUGUGGCAUGAUGUAUGUACCUUAUGAAUAAGCAUCGGCUAACUCCGUGCCAGCAGCCGCGGUAAUACGGAGGAUGCGAGCGUUAUCCGGAUUUAUUGGGGUUAAAGGGAGCGUAGGUGGGUUGUUAAGUCAGUUGUGAAAGUUUGUGGCUCAACCGUAAAAUUGCAAUUGAUACUGGCAGUCUUGAGUACAGUUGAGGUAGGCGGAAUAAGUGAUGUAGCGGUGAAAUGCUUAGAUAUCACGAAGAACUCCGAUAGCGAAGGCAGCUUACUAGACUGCCACUGACGUUGAUGCUCGAAAGCGUGGGUAGCGAACAGGAUUAGAUACCCUAGUAGUC